rnacentral:rRNA from 1 species
AAAGAUUAAGCCAUGCAUGUCUAAGUAUAAGCAAUCAUACUGUGAAACUGCGAAUGGCUCAUUAAAUCAGUUAUCGUUUAUUUGAUAGUACCUUUACCUGGAUAACCGUGGUAAUUCUAGAGCUAAUACAUGCUAAAAAUCCCGACUUCGGAAGGGAUGUAUUUAUUAGAUAAAAAACCAAUGCCCUUCGGGGCUCCUUGGUGAAUCAUAAUAACUUAACGAAUCGCAUGGCCUUGCGCCGGCGAUGGUUCAUUCAAAUUUCUGCCCCAUCAACUUUCGAUGGUAGGAUAGUGGCCUACCAUGGUCU